UACGGGGGGGGCAAGCGUUGUUCGGAAUUACUGGGCGUAAAGGGCUCGUAGGUGGCCAACUAAGUCAGACGUGAAAUCCCUCGGCUUAACCGGGGAACUGCGUCUGAUACUGGAUGGCUAGAGUUUGGGAGAGGGAUGCGGAAUUCCAGGUGUAGCGGUGGAAUGCGUAGAGAUCUCCAAGAACACCAGUUGCGAAGGCGGCUGACUGGACCCAUAUUGACGCUGAGGCUCGAAAGCAUGGGGAGCAAACAGG
rnacentral:rRNA from 1 species